rnacentral:rRNA from 1 species
GAUUAACGCUGGCGGCGUGCCUAACACAUGCAAGUCGAACGAUGAAACUCGUUGGAUUUCUUCGUGAUGAUAAUGACUGGCUUAGUGGCGAACGGUGGAUUAACUCGUGAUUAGACUGCCUUACACAAGGGGAAAGCCUGUGGAUACGGGGAAUAAUACUCUAUGAAACGAUUCAAUAGCAUGAUAAGCUGGUCAUACUGUUUAUUGGUGUAAGAGGGAGUUACGACUGAUUAGCUAGUUUGUCAGAUAACAGCGCAACAAGGCAACGAGCAGUAGCAGGGAUGAGAGAGUGUACGGCCACAUUGGGACUGAGACACGGCGCAGACUCCCACGGGAGGCAGCAGUGGGGAAUUUGGCACAAUGGGGGAAACCCUGAUGCAGCGACGCCGCGUGAUUUUGAAGGCCGUCGGGUUGUAAAAAUCUUUUGUAUAGGAAGAAAAUGACAGUACUAAACGAAUAAGGUCCGGCUAAUUACGUG